CACAACUCCUGCUGACUCUCACAUACACCCAAAAAACACUGCAAUUUCAACUGAGUCCUUCUUAUUACACUUUACAGUGUGAAUAUCAGAGGGCGAUUCAUUCAAAGAUUAAAAAGGUAACGCUACAAUAGCGACUGAUAAGAGAACUUGACUUCAUGCUAAAGUAAAAGUUACUUACAGUAUCUGCUCGUGUUGUUGUGAUUGUCAUCAAGCGUCAUGUUGUCAAGCAGCAGAAGCGUCAGACUGAAGGAGAACCCGCUUCUGCCGCCUUGAGGAGCGGAGGAAAACUGCACUUUACUCUCGUCGGGAUCACAUCUGAGACUUUGGAUUAAAGUUCCUGUAAAAUUACAGCAGCAACAUGUUUGACAAGCUCUGUGGUGCAGAAAAUAAUGAUUUCCUUUGAAUGAGAAAGUCUAGUUUUUUGUAUAUAUAUAUAUAUAUAUAUAUAUAUAUAUAUAUGUGUGUGUGUGUGUGUGUGUGUGUGUGUGUGUGUGUGUAACGUUAUGUAUGUAUGUAUUUUAACAUAAGGACAGAACAGAGAAGACAGAAGAAAUUUGCAGCGGUGUAAUUCACACAAAUCACCACAGGAGGGCGAAACACUUAUGUUUUUUAGAUUCGAUCGGACUCGGUUUGCAACGGUGUGAUUCACACAAUCACCACUUUUCUUUUACUCUCUAUAUGUAAUUCACACAAAUCACCACAGGAGGGCACACCACUUAUGUUUUUUAGACUCGAUUUGCAGCGGUGUAAUUCACACAAAUCACCACAGGAGGGCACACCACUUAUGUUUAUUAGACUUGAUUUGCAAUAGUGUAAUUCACACAAAUCACCACAGCAGGGCGAAAAUAAUUUUAGAUCUGACUUUUUUGCAUGUAUAUUUAUAUAGACAGACGAUAGGACACAACACGCACACUGAUACAGUUGAUACAAAGAAUAACUUAAAAAUAAAAUCAUUUUAUAAAGAAUAGAUCUGAGUAGUCAAUGAAUUAUUAAUCAAUGACAAUAAUCUUUUACAUCCGCUAAGAACUUUAAACUUGAAAUCUAAAACAACAUCAUUGAUUCACAGUCUCUGCGGCUCAGUGGAUAGUUGUCAACCUCACCAACCAGACAGUCCUGGUUCAAAUCCCAGGUUUCAGAUCCAUGUUUGUUAAAGUUAUUCAUCAUUUAACACACAACUCUGGAUCAAACCGGUUGAAAACGCUCUUCAUCUCAGCAGACUCAGUGGCUCAGGAGAGAAAGAGUUGUGUUUCGAUCACAGCGUCCUGAGUUCAAGUCCCACUAUUGCUGACUUUCAAUAGUUCUCAUUAGA